CCAGCACUAAUGCACCGGAUCCCAUCAGAACUCCGCAGU
rnacentral:rRNA from 1 species